rnacentral:misc_RNA from 1 species
ACACAGCACCUCGGAACAAUCCAUGCACCAGCUACUUGCUUUCGAUUCUUCGUCGUCUUCUUGGCAUGAUUUGCAAUAAAUCGAGUUUGUGCCAGUCGCAAUCAAAGCAAGGAGUUUGUUCUCUGGAAACAGUUUUGCCCACCGAUCAACAGAAUGUUCGUUAAUUUUACCAGGUGCAGGAAUGAAUUUGCGACACAGAGGACACGGAAAUCCAAGGGGUGGGUCACACUUAACACAUGAAGUUAUAAUGUGUUUAGACAGGCAAGUCAGACAGAAGGAGUGGGAGCACGGUAAACUCACAGGUAAUUUAUAUUGCUCUAAACAAAUAGAACACAGCAUUAAAUCAGUAGUCAAACUACUUUCCUCGUCCCCAGCAUUCGCCAUGAUCGCAGUUUUCCUUUACGAAAGAUUUAAAACGAAAGUAGAUAUCUACUGUAAAUGAGGGCUAGGAGUUAUCGUUCACGUCACCAGGUUCAACUAAUAUCUAAAUGUAUAAACAUUUAUUACAUACUUUUUUUUAUAGAAAUAGAUAACGUUUUUUAUCUAAUUAUAUGUCACAUGUACAGAUGACAUCACAAAACUCGUAUCGGCAUCGGGGGCUGAUAAAGGUUAUCACGGAUCCAUAUCACACCCCUUGCAGAACUUCUCUGUCUUUUUUGUUUCGGUACGUUUACAGACAAAAAACUUCAAAAGCUAGCAAACGUUUUGGAGCGGCUAACAUUUCAAAACUGAGUAAAUUCCGGUUCUGUAACUACAUAUGUUUAUUAGACUCAUUAAAAUAAUCUUGACAAGCAAAAACU